UGCAAGGCACCUGCUUAAAAUGAUAUUUUCCCCUCUGCAUUUGAGUAGAGACAGGCAGAGGGAGGGAAAUGCUUUUUUUCCCUUUUUCAGGCUGUGUGUCACUCUGUCUCUGCUGUGUCUGUUUUGAUGUCUGUCCAUGUUGGCUUCUCUUAUCUCUGUUUCUAUUUUUCUCUGAAAUAGUGCAGGGUUUUGCAUCUGUACAGACCUGAGUUGGAGUCCUUCUUUUGCAACAGUUGAUUAGCUCUGUGACUUUGGGCAAGUCUCCUAACUUCUUUGAGUGUCAGUUUCUUAAUCUCUAAAAUGGGCUCAUUAUUAGAUGCUUGUUGGAGUGGCUGUGAAUAUUUUUAUUUGAAAUCAUAAACACGAAUAUCCUUUGUAAGGUGAAAAGGAUUGGCCAAGGAUACAGGAUCAUUAUAAGGCAAUGAUUAAGAGCACAUGUGAAUCGUGACUUUACCAGGUAUUAGCUGUGUUGGGUGAGUGACCUAAAUGCUCUCAGCCUCAGUUUCCCCAUUUAUAAAAAGAGGAUAAUUAUGCUAUCACCCCACAGGAUUACGAACAGGGGUACACAAGAUUACCUGUGGCUACUGCUCAGCACAGGGCCUCACGCGCACACACACACACACACACACACACACACACACACAGACUCCAAGUUGGGCUCAUACUGCUUUUCCCCUUUAACACUAUAUCAUGGACAUGUGCCUAUGUUUUUAUGUAUUGUUGAUGCAUAUAUCCUAUAAGAUGAAUGGAUGAAAAUUAGUGGACUGCAUGCUUCAUUGUUGGUCAUUAUGGUUGUUGGGCUGAGAAUCUGGAGUAAACAUUUACAAAAAGAAAGAGGGCCUUAUAACCAUUUCCUUUCCCUUCUUUUUGGCCAAACAGGUAAAAGGCCACCUCCCUGGCCCACAAGCCCCUCACCCAAGGCUUUGGCCAGUUGGCCUCUUCACUCAGUACAUCCUGCUAGUUAGGAGCACAGAAUCCUUUUCCUUCAAGGGGUUCCUCUGUUAACCCCUGGUGCUGCAGCGCUGGCAUUGGAUGUUACAAUUUGCCCAUUGCUGUCAGAACUGGACAAGUGACCCAACAGGAAUUCUUGGGAUACUGAGGCAGAUAUGCUAGCAAGGAGGCCUUCUUGACAUUGAGAAAAAAAGCGCAGGAGCAUAAAAGAGCAUCUAUUUCAUCGGGCAGUUGGGAGAAUUUCAUGAAUCCACAUCUUAAAACAGCACGUUCUGGCUGGGCACGGUAGCUCACGCCUAUAAUCCCAGCACUUUGGGAGGCCGAGGCGGUGGGCCACUUUAGGUCAGGAGUUCGAGAUCAGCCUGGUCAACACGGUGAAACCCCAACUCUACCAAAAAUACAAAAAUUAUCUGGGUAGGGUGGUGCAUGCCUGUAAUCCCAGCUACUGGCUGAGGCAGGAGAAUCGCUUGAACCCGGGAGGUAGAGUUUACAGUGAGCCAAGAUCCUCCCAUUGCACUCCAGCCUGGGCAACAAGAGCAAAACUUCAUCUUAAAAAACAAACAGACAAAUAAACAACAGCACAUGUCCUUCAGUGAAGGUUCAAAUAAUACAAUAUUAGAAAGUUUCGUGGUUCCCAGUCUCAGUCUAUCUGUGUCCUCUCUUUGCCCCUUCAGCCUUCCCAGCAUCUCAUGGUCACCCACACCCCUAACAGCCUUCCCCUCCAGGAAAUGUAACCUCUCCAGGGAAGCUUCCUGAGCAGCAGGGCUUACUCUGGAAUUAUGUAAAGAGUCGCCACAAACCUACAAAGUGCCACCCCACCCCUGCUGAAGCAAUGUGUCCAGAGGCCACAGGGACACAGGGUGGGUGACGGAAAGAAAUAUGUCAUUGUGGGCAGAGUCCCAGAAAUUGGAGGUUCCCCAGCUUCAAGAAUACAACCUUUGUUGUCGGGGGUGUUGUUUCAUGAAGGGCCAUAUGAAGCAGCCUUCUACAUCCCUAAAAGACCCAACGAGAGUCGGUGGAUUAAAUUAAAGCAGCAGAGAUUUGAGUGAGAUACAGGGAAGGCUCUCUUGAUAGCCAGGGAUAACACCCAGGAGAGGCUAGGGGAAGAUGGCUGUGUUGCCCUGUCCCAGGAAGGGAGCCUGGAGAGGAUUAGGUCUCAGAGCUGGUGUG
rnacentral:lncRNA from 1 species